rnacentral:rRNA from 1 species
GACGUAGGGGGCGAGCGUUGUCCGGAUUUAUUGGGCGUAAAGCGUGCGUAGGCGGCUGCGCAAGUCGGUUGUGAAACCCCGGGGCUCAACCCCGGAACUGCAUCCGAUACUGCGUGGCUAGAGGUAGGUAGGGGAGAUCGGAAUUCCUGGUGUAGCGGUGAAAUGCGCAGAUAUCAGGAGGAACACCGGUGGCGAAGGCGGUGGUCUGGGCCGGCACUGACGCUGAGGAGCGAAAGCGUGGGUAGCAAACAGG